GUGAAUCAUCGAAUUUUUGAACGCAAAUUGCACUCUCUUCGGAGAGUAUGCCUGUUUGAGGGUCAGCCUAAAAAAAAUCGACAUAGUCGCUGUUUCGCGGUGACAUUCGUCGGAAAUUGGGUAAUUUUAAACCUUUGGGUUUUAACCGCCUUAAAUUUUUUUUUACGUUUUUCGGAACUUUUUAAAGAUUUA
rnacentral:misc_RNA from 1 species